GCUUACAGUGGGUCCAUUCUGCAGCAGCAGCAAUACACUGCUUGUAGACAACCAGUAUAUUUGAAGGUUUAAUCCUUUCUUCAAUCCAAUUUUCAGACAGUAUCAAGCAUCGUUAGUUUGUGUUUAGCAACACUGUGUUGGCAGCCGACAGCAUGCUGUGAAAAUGCUGAGGGACUGCUGGGAAGGUGAGAGGGAGGAAGCAGGAGAACAGUGAGGUCAUAGAUUGCAGAGAAGAGGAUGUGACGCCGCCCAAGGCCAUGUUGUCCAUGCUGAUAAAUACAGAUUUCACUUUACUGUUAUUUCUUUGUUUUUUUACACUGUCCUUCACAAGAAAAUUCUGCCUGCAGUUUUUUUAUGUUUUUUAUUUUCAAAGCAGGAUAGAUUUGGGGCAGUUAGCAGAACAUAUCAGAUCUCAAUAAAUGUCUGUUAGAUA